rnacentral:lncRNA from 1 species
GUCUUUGCGUUAGCGAAGAUGUUAUUUUUGCUCGGUUGUGUGUCAGUGUUUCGGUGGAGUUGGGAUUCUAGGGUAGUUGGAUGUGAAUUAGUGGGGAGUUAGGAUAUUAGUGGGAUUUUAAAAUAGAUUUUAUUUUAUAUCUAUUUUUUUGUUUUUUAUUUUUCCCAAAAUUUCCCUUAUCUCUUUUGACUUUUUUUUUCUCUGACUGGGAGAAUCCUUUCUUUUUCCUUGCUUCUAAAAUUCUGUCAAAAUCCUGUCAAUUAAUCUUGAUUUUUCAGUUCUUCGGUGUUCU